UACAGAGGUCCCAAGCGUUGUUCGGAUUCACUGGGCGUAAAGGGUGCGUAGGCGGUCGGGUAAGUCUGAUGUGAAAUCUCCAAGCCUAACUUGGAAACUGCAUUGGAUACUAUCCGGCUCGAGGAAUGGAGGGGAGACUGGAAUACUUGGUGUAGCAGUGAAAUGCGUAGAUAUCAAGUGGAACACCAGUGGCGAAGGCGGGUCACUGGACCACAACUGACGCUGAUGCACGAAAGCUAGGGGAGCAAACAGG
rnacentral:rRNA from 1 species